UACGGGGGGAGCAAGCGUUGUUCGGAUUUACUGGGCGUAAAGGGCGCGUAGGCGGCCACCGCAAGUCGACUGUGAAAUCUCCGGGCUUAACCCGGAAAGGUCAGCCGAUACUGCGGGGCUAGAGUGCAGAAGGGGCAACUGGAAUUCUCGGUGUAGCGGUGAAAUGCGUAGAUAUCGAGAGGAACACCUGCGGCGAAGGCGGCUUACUGGACCGGUUCUGACGCUGAGGCGCGAAAGCGUGGGGAGCAAACAGG
rnacentral:rRNA from 1 species